rnacentral:rRNA from 1 species
UACGUAGGGGGCAAGCGUUAUCCGGAUUUACUGGGUGUAAAGGGAGCGCAGACGGUAUAGCAAGUCUGAAGUGAAAUGUUAGGGCUCAACCCUAAAGCUGCUUUGGAAACUGCUAAACUUGAGUGUCGGAGGGGUAAGCGGAAUUCCUAGUGUAGCGGUGAAAUGCGUAGAUAUUAGGAGGAACACCGGCGGCGAAGGCGGCUUACUGGACGAUAACUGACGUUGAGGCUCGAAAGCGUGGGGAGCAAAC